UGGAGAGCUUACGGCAGGCAUUACUAAAUCAUGACCAGGGAGCUUACUGCUAACCAUUGCUUUCUACCGUUAGUAACGUAUGGGGCCGAAACUUGGAAGUUACCAAAGAAGCUUUGGAAGACGUUGAGGACCGCGCAACGAGCGAUGCAAUGAAAAUUAUUAGGCAUGAUGAUAAUAGACUGGAAGACAGCGAUGUGGAUUAGAGAGCGAACGGGGAUAGCUGAUAUUCUGGUUGACAUUAUGAGGAAGAAGUCGUGCUGGGCAGACAUUGCAAUGCGUAAGGGAGAGAACUGCUGGUCUAUUGGAGUUGCAGAAUGGGUGCUAAGGGAAGGGAAGCACAGUCGAGGACGGCAGAGAAUAAUGUGGACGUGAUGGAAUUGGGAAACUUGAAGACACGUGGAACCAGUUAGCACAAGACAGGGGUAUUGGAGAUCGCUGGAGAAGCUUUCGUCCUGCGAUGGACGUCAGAAUAAGCUGAUGAUGAUGAUGACGUGACGACAUCCAUGCUAGCUUCGCGGCAUGUCAUUCAUGUUAUGUCAUGCAUGCGUGUCAUGCACGUUCUGAUAGCUCGAUUUGCGUCGAUUGCGCGGGGGGGAGGGAGGGGGGCUAGUAGCGGCGUAGCCAAGUGGGGCACGCCGGGCACUUGUAACGCUCACUAACAGUAAAAUUUUUGCUGCUAUGGCAAUGGCCCCGCUCCUUCCCCCUCCACGGCCAAUUGGGACCCCCCCCCCCCUCACACGAAAAAAUUUUCUGGUUACGCCACUGUCGGGAGAGGGUGUAAGAUUGCUCUAGACCCCUCCCUGUAACUUGUCAACGGAAACGGGGGACGGGAGGGCAGCUGCCGCCGGGCCGCAAACCUUAGGCAGCCCAAUUACCGGCUGCAUUUCCCUUUGCACGUGAAUACUGCUCUAAUGCCAUUACACUGUAGGAUCUGUGGCGGUUCGAGGGCAUGCGACAAUAAAAAAAACCCAUACAGCCAUCAGCAAGUCUUAGCUUGAGCAGAUCUUUGGGAGCUGGGCAAGACUCUCACAAAAAAAAAAAAAGCUUGGCACCCCUCUUACAGGCAUUGUCAACUCUGGGUCCCACCGCUGACUGUACAUUUCCGGUAAAAAAAAAAUCACACCGGAACUCCUCUCGGAUUUGUCUAAGUGUGCGUAAGCAUUGUGACUCUUCCUCAUCUACACGCAGUCCAUGUCGUUAUCAAUGUUAUGAGACUUGAGCCGACAAGUAUAAGCGACAGCGCUGCGGCGACACGAGCUGCUCUGGUCGGCGGCGCAAGCAAAGUACUGCAGGUGGCGGGGCCAGGCGCGCUGGUGACGUUCCGUUCGUUUUGAGCUGUUAUCGCUCUUUAGCCCUCCUCAUCCGCGUCGAACCAUUAUCAACCGUUCUCCGGCGGCGGCUGCUUGUGGCACGGCCGCGCGAACCGUAUCUUGAAAGCGAACUGCAUUGUGGACAGAGUGUGCCCACUGCUGAAACCUUCCCGCGCUGUGUUCGCACCGUUUACUUCGCUUUGAAAACAGACGCGCGUACACCUAUCUUGAAAGUGUUCUGCGAAAAGCGCAUAGUGCGGCAUGAGCUGAGAGCUUCGUGAGCGCAGUGUUCUCGCCGCUUCGGUCGCGUUGAAGCGAGAGCUAGCACGAAGGUGAAUUCACUCGCUGUUGCGGGUUCUAUUUUGAAACGUAUCGUGUGGUACGGACUGACGGACGGAUGUUUUUUCUUGUUGGAGAAGUAUAGAAAUGCUUACGUUAUAAAAAAAAUCGCAGGGUUCGCGAAUUUCGCGAUAAGAACCAACACCAACCCACUCCUCGGCGCCCCGCGGAGCGAUGCCGUCUUGAUCGCCCCCUCCCAACCCCGGGAAAAGGGACACUACCUAUCUCAGUUGAAGAAACGAUGAUGAAACGUUAACGACAAGAACGGCAUCUCCUAACGAGUUGUCUUAUGGCCUCUGAGAUUUGCGCGCGCAGCUGGCGCGCGCGAACCUGGGAGGCCCUAAUUGGCCGCUUAAUAGCAUAAAAAGACAAAGAUAAUGCCAAAUGACACAGUUAAAAAUUCAAACAAAUAACUGAUCUUAAUUAUACUGUUUGGGAAAAAGAAAUAAAAAAUUAGACAGCCGCAACACACGCCACUAAAGCCACCACCGCCGGCAUAACGCGGAACCAACAGUUGGCAACAUUCAUUCGCGCGUCAUUGCUUCGUUCGCUUCGUCUUCGCAACGAGAGCCGCCAUCUUCUCGCGCCUAACGUUUUGUAUGGCUUUGUUCUCUGCAAUCCGCGCACGCAGCUCAUCGGUGGAUGCACGUCUGCUCGGCGUCGCAAUGCGGCCUGCGUCAUUUUUUGGUGUUCGCGCAAUCGGUGUGAAGCAUGUCGCAUGUGAAAUGUUUGGUAGAAGUGCCUCACGUCCAAGUCAAGCCGCCGUACGGGUGUAUGGCUGUGCGCCCUGUUCUCGGAAGCGUCAACGGGUUUCCGGCAUGCGGAUUUCAGCGUUUGGACUCGACUUUUGGUGAGGCUGUCGAUCGACCUUGGGCCUGGUGACAGCACACCCGACAUCGCCAAAGUGCAGCCUAUCAGUUGAGUGCCCCCCAAUGGACCAUCAACAUCGGAAACUGAAGCAGAGCCAGGGGGAAAAAGUUCCGGUAACACCAUGCAUUCAGUAUGGUGGCCCAGACGUGUAUGCAAGCAACCUCCUUCAUGUGGACCAAGAACUACUCUGCAGUGUCUCACAGACUUCCAUGCGAAGCCCUCAACAUUCUCGUCUCAGUGGAAUGGCUGCCCAUCUAUCUGCGUGUCCAUCACCAAGACGGCUAGUUGUAAAGCUCCUGUACCCGUUUAAGAAAGCUUAAUGAUUUUUUUUAUUUAGUUUUCACGGUUGGCCGUAGAAUCUUAACAUUUUUGAUGUUUCUAACGUUUUUACCUGGCACAAAGUGGCGCAAUAACUUUAAACCAGUGUAAUGUAUUUAAGUGAUGCUCACUCUAAUGCCUAUCUGGUUUUGUUUGUGUUUAAGAAAUUUGAAUGUCUGAUGAGGUAACAGCAUUUAAAUUUGUCAUCGUGGCUUGUUUCAAUGAGCUGCUAGGAAAUAAGAUGCAAAACUUAUCACACGCCAGUUGUAGCAUUUUUGUAUUCAUGACUAAAGUAUACACGUUUCAAAAGAUGGAAAGUGGGGAAAAAAAGCCUCAAGAACAUAAUCAUCCUAGGAUUGUCAUGUCCUUACAACUCUGCAAUGACUAAUGCCUCAUGCAUCUUGGGAGCACAAUGGCCGCAAUGCCUACAGGUAUACUUGAUAAGAGACUAGCUUGCAAAAAUUUAGUUGAGAGUUAGCGCUCAUCCUGUCUGCUUCUAGUCUGUGUCCAUGCCACUUCGCGCUACAAUCCAAGAUCAUGUUACUGUACCAACUCGCCCAACUUUUUAUCCUUGUGUUAAAGACACACUCAGACUUGUUCUUACUUAUGUGACCGGUUAUUUUUGUGCUUUAUAAUAAGAUGCAGUGCUUUUCGAAUGAAAACGUGAUAUUUAGUAGUGAGGUUAUUUAAAAAAACUGUUCUGCUUAAAAUUUAAUUGAGCAAGCCUGUGCCAUUAUUCGGUGCUUAUGUCUUUGUAUUGGUAUGGUUUUACUCAUCUUCCUUUUUACUUUUAAAAUGUGCAAACAUUAUUAUGUAACCAUUUCUCUUGAAUGAAAUAAAUACUUCUGACAUUUCGUCACAAA